CGAUGGUCUUAGGCGACCCCUGUGAAAGGGUCGUUCGACCCCCAAAGGGGUCGUGACCCACAGGUUGAGAACCGCUGGUUUAAAAGAAUUUGUAAAGGAAAAUGUGAUACUUUUAAUACUGGGCCAUACACGGAGUUCUUGACUGGAAAGAGAAGGAAGAAAGAAAAGAAGCCUUGGUGAUAACCAGCAGCCAGCAAUAGUUCCGGAAUAUUCAAAGGUAUCCAUGCAAAUCAGACAGCACUUGAAGAAAUGCAGCCAAUACCUUUUGCUUUGGGAACUCAUUUGGCAGCGGGAAGUGCUAAGGAAGAGCUUUACUUAUAUUCUCUGCUUCCUGAUAUUUAAAGAAUUCAUUUCAUUUGCAAUUUAACAGAAAUCCAUUUUCUUUCCCUUUCAAAGGACAGGCGGUGCCCCUCUGAGAUGUGAAAGGUGGUGGGCGGCUGAAACUGCUUCUCUGAAAGUUAACUUCUGAGCAAUCCUUCUAACAGUGACCGUGGAAAGAAAGAAAUUGGUGUCAGCAGGGAUCCUGGCAGUAGGCGAGCAGCCAGAUCCUUCCAAGGGGAGUGAGAAGUGUCUAGACUUUGAUGCCUUUGAAUUCCUGGUUCCAUUUCUCUGUGUCUAAAUCGAGGAGAAAACAUUCUCAGCAUUUCAGUCACUCAUUGGACAGACGUUAAUUGAAUACUUGCCCUGCUGAACUCCUAGAACGUCCAGUAGGGAAUGGCUCACAGGCCCUGUCCUCAGGGAGUUUACAUUCUGCUGAGGCAGAUGGGCAUGAAAAUUUCAGGGUAAAAGGGGUUGUGGUAUCAGUGAACACAGGGAGCCCAAAGGACCUGUGUUGGGGGAUGGGGAAGACUUCCUUGGGUCUUCAAAGAUAGAAGUUGGCCACAACAAGGGGCAUGAGGCUGUCCAUGGAGAGGUGGCCAGAGGAGAGAGAGGACAUCAUCUGUUUGGGAAAAUAUAAUAACCUCAGUGUGAGAGCAGUGCAGUUUAUAUGGGAAGGCGAGGGAAGAAGGGGUGAGGGGGACAGUGAAGAGGUAGGUAGGCAUUCUUUCUAAAUGCCUUUGUCAUGAAGUCAGGGGGCUCUCAGAAAAAAAUUUAAGCGGGGAAGUAACUUGAUCAGACUUUACUUUUACAAAGCUUACUCUAGUUGGCUUUAACAAUCAGUCAGUCAACCAACCAACCAAUCUAUUGGAGGUGUAAUUACAUAAACAGUAAAAUGGCCAGAUCUUAAGGCCAAUUUGGCUGAUGAGUGUUGAUAAUUGUAUGCACUCAUGUUACCACCACCAGAAACCAGAUACAGAACAUCGCUGUUACCCCAGGAAGUUCUUCUGUGUCCUUGUCCAUUCAGUCACCUCCCUGCAGUCACUUUCUGACUUUCAUUUUCAGUUAUGUCUUUCUUGGAUUUCAUGUGAAUGAUGGAGUCUUGCACAUUGAAAUGUUGAUGGAAUGGAGCUGGCAGAGAGGAAAGUUUGAGGAUGUGAGAGCGAGUUAACUGGGUAGAGCCACUGUCUAGGAAGUCAGGAUUGGGUGGAAUCCCAAGGAGGAAUGUAUGCCGGCUUUGAGAGGAGGAGGAAGGAAACCAAGAAAAGUGAGUUUGGGGGUGAGCAGGAAGUUGAAGGCAUUGUUGCUUUAUUCUUUGUGAAGUAGGAGGUGAGGUCAUUUUUUGAGACUAAAGGGAGAGGAAGGGGAGGUGAUGGGCUGAGGGUUGGGUAAAGUAGAAGAGGUUUGAAAUAGCGGCUAUUUAAUAGCCUUUGAGAAGACUGAGUAAAGAGCCAAGCAGGUUUGCUGGGCAGCUCUGAGGGCUUCUUGAGAAUGGAGACCAUGAGUCUGUUAUGACAUCAGCUUUAGUGGACAGGUGGUCUUCUCCUUGGUGUUGAAUAUCCUGGAGAGAGAAACAGAGGUAGAUCAAGUUAUUUCCCUGCUUAAAUGUUUUUCUGAGAGCCCCCGGACUUCAUGACAAAGGCAUUUGGAAAGUCAUAGGUAGAAGGAUCUGGGUUUGGGAUUCGGUUGGGUGGGUGUGUAAGAGAGUGCAAGGGAGUUGAGAUCAUUGGCCACAGACUGUUGAUGGAUGGAGGAGAAAGGAGGUGAAGAUAGAGGACUAUCAGAGAAGUGGAAAACAGAGGGAUUGGAAAAUUGGAGCAUCAUGUAAAAUGGGAACGUUGGUGUUGUGGGAGAAGCUGGGAGAAAGAUCUGAAGGGGAAGGCGUUUACAGAGGAUAAAAGGAAGAGGAGCGAGGUGCUUGGAGGUCCUGUCAGAGGUGGAGCCGUUCUGAUUGAGUCCAGGAUGGACCUUGGAGAGGAAGGCAGUAACACAGAAAAGGAGGUUACAGAAUGAGCACAAGGAACAGACUAGGCAGUGUGCUCAGUGACUUCUAAGGUGAUUCAGAAUGACAGCUGGACUUGGUGUCUCAAAGAAGACGGAGUCAGGUGGCAAGGUCUUCAGUGAAUGGGAGAAAACGACUGGUCGAGGUAGGUGGAAGCUUCACCCACUGGUGGAGGACUUUCGUUUUGGCUUUGGGGAAUAAGAAGGGGCUGCAUUUCCAGCAAAAGUUUUAGUUUCAGCAUAGACAGGGGGAGAGGGUGCGGUGUGAAUGGUUCCAAGAGGUACAUACAGUAGAAAGGGGGUGUACGAGGGUGGGGAUCAGGAUGGGGAUGUGGGGGUAAGAUUAUAGGGAAGGAUGGCUGCGCGGCAGGAAGGACUAAACUUGAAAUAGGGCUGAGAGGUGCGAUGAUGAGGUUGCUUCUGUUUCUCUUAGUUCCCCUGGUGGUUGGGAGGUUCCAGUCUUUUCUCUGGAAGCAACUGGGAAGUGUUCUGCUGGACCUGAGUGGUGCUGUCCAGAUGUCUAACUUGGAGCGAGCUGGCUGUGCCGUCCCUUUCGUGAGCGAUGACAGAGGAUGGAGAGCCCAUAGAGCCAGGAGUCCGCACUGAAAGGCCUUUUAUGGCAUUUGAAUAUUUUAUGAUCCUUUGAUUUUCUAGAGGCCUGUCUCCUGGAGAAGUGAAUUUUCUUAAUGGCCUUUGUUUUUUUUUUCUCUUUCUGGUUUCUAGAAAACAGAAGGGUAAGCUAUCCUCUGGGGUUCAGUUCCAUUCAUCACCUUCAUAAAAUGGGGUGAUAAGCCAAGUCUGUUUCUUUGAAGUCAGUGAAUAAACCUUUCCUGUUACAGAGCAUGGAAUUCCAUUGGGGAAUUUAAAUACAUUUCCUUUAAUGGCUUAAAUGAAGGUGCUGCCUUUUGUUUUGUUUUUUUCCAUGAAAGUUUUAUAUAUUUGACCUAUUUAAUAUUUUUCCUUAGGAAAUAAAAGAUGGCAUUUUCUUAGUUCCCUUCCA